rnacentral:rRNA from 1 species
UACGAAGGGGGCUAGCGUUGCUCGGAAUUAAUGGGAGUAAAGUGAACGUAGGCGGAUAUUUAAGUGGGUGGUGAAAUCCUGAAGCUCAACUUCAGAACUGCCUUCGAUACUGGGGACCUUGAGUUCGGGAGAGGUGAGUGGAACUGCGAGUGUAGAGGUGAAAUUCGUAGAUAUUCGCAAGAACACCAGUGGCGAAGGCGGCUCACUGGCCCGAUACUGACGCUGAGGUGCGAAAGCGUGGGGAGCAAACAGG